rnacentral:rRNA from 1 species
GAUGAACGCUGGCGGCGUGCCUAAUACAUGCAAGUCGAGCGAACAGACGAGGAGCUUGCUCCUCUGACGUUAGCGGCGGACGGGUGAGUAACACGUGGAUAACCUACCUAUAAGACUGGGAUAACUUCGGGAAACCGGAGCUAAUACCGGAUAAUAUAUUGAACCGCAUGGUUCAAUAGUGAAAGACGGUUUUGCUGUCACUUAUAGAUGGAUCCGCGCCGCAUUAGCUAGUUGGUAAGGUAACGGCUUACCAGGGCGACGAUGCGUAGCCGACCUGAGAGGGUGAUCGGCCACACUGGAACUGAGACACGGUCCAGACUCCUACGGGAGGCAGCAGUAGGGAAUCUUCCGCAAUGGGCGAAAGCCUGACGGAGCAACGCCGCGUGAGUGAUGAAGGUCUUCGGAUCGUAAAACUCUGUUAUUAGGGAAGAACAAAUGUGUAAGUAACUAUGCACGUCUUGACGGUACCUAAUCAGAAAGCCACGGCUAACUACGUG